ACCGAGGAGAUACUACAGCAUGCAGUAUGUGGGAGCGAGGGUGAGUGAGUCAGUGAGUGAGUGAGUGUCUGUAUCAAACUUUGUUAUGCCAUGGACCAUAGUCGCUGGCUGGGACUGAGAAGGGUCGCCCUUGGAACUGGACGAUAUUGGCCAGUCAUAACCUCGUUUGGAAAAUGCAAGCUGAAGAUUUCAAAGACAGGGGGGACGGUCGUCCUCUAUUCGGUACCACCAGUGCGACCCUGAUUCAAUGGAAAUCCUUGGCGCACUCUCUCCAUUCCUUCUUCACUCUCCUUCACUGACACACAUCAAGAUAACCAUCACCACAAAAUCCCGCACGAGAGAGAGAGAGAAAGACAGGGUACCAAGGAAAGAGCGGACGGUCCAAGGGACGAGGUGCUGUCCCAAUGAAUCUCAAGUUUCCAGGUCUGCUUCACCUUCUUCCAUAUUUCGACCCGAGUUUCAAGGACAGAUAUGUUAAUAAAUAUGAAAUCGAAGGAAAUCUAAUCCCUGGCAAAACACCAGAAUACGGGCAGGUUCGUGUGGAGAAGCGAUGGAACUUGUUCGUAGGCAUAUUUUGUGGUAGAGAAUCCCUCGGAGAGUAAAAAUACUGCAUCAAGGUUGGAAAGAGUUUGCUCCGUUUGGAAUCUACCAGAGAACUGAGAACUUGGGUGAACAAGUGAGGAGGUGCAGGGUUCCAUUAGAAGGAAGAAGAGGGAAGGAAAGGGAGGCCUGGGAAAAUACCCUGGGAGCAAUGGGACAACACACUUGCCUCAUACGAAUGGAACACCAAAGCGAAGAAUGGGAAAGGAGGACUUGAAUCCUGGAGGAAAUAUUGGAGCGGGAAAAAGUAACGCGAAAAGGAGGAUAUUUGAAUUCCUCGCCCAGCUCCCGCUUUGUCGACUCUUUAUUGGCAUGAAAUGGGUUAAAUGCCAAAUGGAACAGCAUAUGAUGCUACUGUAACAACUUCAAACGAACUCACUUUAUAAAUCUCCACCAUGUCCCAGCUCCAUUGAGAGGAGUGUGCAUUUCAAUGAUGGAAUAGGAACUCUUCAUCAAUCAGGUACCGUUUAAGGGAAGAAAAUGGGGACCCACCUUCAAAGGAAUGGAGUUCAAUGGAUCGGAAACAACCUCCGCUUUAAAAUGAAGCUGUACUUUAUCGAACACAUGUCUUCCUCGUUUGAGCCUCAAUUUACCAGAGACCAGAUCAAAUGAGGCAUUGGGGGCUACCCACAACCAUGGACUUCGUUAGUGGAUGGCAAAAAACGUUACAAAUCUUCAUCAAGCCUCGGAAAAAAAUGGAGAGAUGACAGGAACUACAAAUGGAACAAAAUUUUCGUUUUGCAAAACCCGAAACAGACACAAUCUCAAAUUCGCCUAUUAAAAAGAGUGAUGACAAGAAAUCUUGCAACAAAUGAAAAAGACGUUUUUGAGAAAGCAUGACUGUUCAUUG